ensembl:lncRNA
AUUUAGGAUAAGGUAUAAUAAUUUAACCUGCACCAUUGUUUCUGUGAAUAAUUGAGGUCUGAAAAGGGACAUUUGAAAGACAGUGCAGGCAUAUGUUAUAUUCAAUAUGGGUUCCUAGGAUCAUAUUACAAACAAAAAAAACAACAAUAUUCGUAUAAAACGAGUUACAUAUUUUUAAUUAAUUAUCCCUCCCCCCAAAAAUCCAUAAUCACAUAAAACAAUUCAAAACCAAUUUCUCACUUUUCAAUGUUUUAAGAUGUUGAGGCAUACAGCACUAUCUUAAUAAAUCACUUUUCCUACAGUCAGACAACUACUUAGAGUUGAAAAUCUAAUUAUAUUAUUGGACAGGGUGUCAUUAAGUACACUUGUUCACAUUAUUUCCUGUAUGUGGCACAAAAAUAACAAAUAAUAUAUCCACUUAAGCCCACGGCUAGGGCCAUGGUAAUAUAUCCACUGAAUGGAGGCCAUGGUAAUAUAUCCACUGAAUAGAGGCCCAUGGCUAGGGCCAUGGUAAUAUAUCCACUGAAUGGAUGCCAUGGUAAUAUAUCCACUGAAUGGAGGCCAUGGUAAUAUAUCCACUGAAUGGAGGCCAUGGUAAUAUAUCCACUGAAUGGGGGCCAUGGUAAUAUGUCCACUGAAUGGGGGCCAUGGUAAUAUAUCCACUGAAUGGGGGCCAUGGUAAUAUAUCCACUGAAUGGAGGCCAUGGUAAUAUGUCCACUGAAUGGAGGCCAUGGUAAUAUAUCCACUGAAUGGAGGCCAUGGUAAUAUAUCCACUCAAUGGAGGCCCAUGGCUAGGGCCAUGGUAAUAUAUCCACUGAAUGGGGGCCAUGGUAAUAUAUCCACUGAAUGGAGGCCAUGGUAAUAUAUCCACUGAAUGGAGGCCCAUGGCUAGGGCCAUGAUAAUAUAUCCACUGAAUGGAGGCCAUGGUAAUAUAUCCACUGAAUGGAGGCCCAUGGCUAGGGCCAUGGUAAUAUAUCCACUUAGAGGACCAUGGCUAGGGCCAUGGUAAUAUAUCCACUUAGAGGACCAUGGCUAGGCCCAUGGUAAUAUAUCCACUUAGAGGACCAUGGCUAGGCCCAUGGUAAUAUAUCCACUUAGAGGACCAUGGCCAGGGCCAUGGUAAUCUGAAAUAUUUGAAAAAUAAAAUAAAUGAUCACAGCACACACUUUAAGUGAUCAUCCCCACACAGAGUCAGCUUCUCUCCAGUGGAGAACAGAGUAACCAGCCUAAAGACUAAAGAUCAUUUCCCUAUGAUCAAAUUAAAACGUUUUUUAAAAAAUUUUUUAAAUACCCUCUAAGAACGGCUCUAUUCAUUCUUUCCAUCAACUGAAUUUCUGACAACUGAUUCAUUUAGUCUGGAUUUAUGUUGGGGGGUAAAACCAAGGAAACAUGACACACUCACAAGAUGGAUGACAGCCUUUGGCUUUACCAUUCCAAAUCACAAAUCUCAACACAUCGAAUCUCUAUCCAUGUGCGUAUCAGCUACCAGUAGCAGAAUGACAAGACAAACUUCCACUGGAAUCUCUCGCGGGGCACAGCGCUUGUUUUGUGUCCGGGGGGGGGGCAUCUACGGUCUUCUAGGCGGAGCCGACCUGUGUGACGUGGCGUCUCCGAUCUUCUAGGGGAGCCGACCUGCGUGUGUGUUUCUGGUCUAGGGGGAGACAGAGCUGGCCUCCUGGUAGAUGAAGGAGUAGAGGCUGAUGUCAGGACGGCGGGUGAAGCAGCUCUGACACAUUGAGCUGUAGUACUGACCCAGCAAACUGUACAGAGC